CGACUUCCUGCCCCGCCAGAGCCAGGAAGCGGGAGCCGGGACCCAGGGCCCGGGAUCGCCGAGCCCGACCUCGGGCGCCCCGCCGGUCACCUCCGCGCGGACACCAGCCCUGCAGAGCCCAGGGAGAUGGAAGACUUCGCCCGAGGGGCGGCCUCCCCAGGCCCCUCCCGGCCUGGCCUGGUUCCCGUCAGCAUCAUCGGGGCUGAGGAUGAGGAUUUUGAGAACGAGCUGGAGACAAACUCGGAAGAGCAAAACAGCCAGUUCCAGAGCCUGGAGCAGGUGAAGCGGCGCCCAGCCCACCUCAUGGCCCUCCUGCAGCACGUGGCCCUGCAGUUUGAGCCAGGACCCCUGCUUUGCUGUCUGCAUGCCGACAUGCUGGGCUCACUGGGCCCCAAGGAGGCCAAGAAGGCCUUCCUGGACUUCUACCACAGCUUCCUGGAGAAGACAGCGGUGAGAGACCUUCAAGCUGCCCCAACCCUGCAAUCCCUGUUUGGGCCUGCAGAGUCACCAUGCGGUCCCCAACCUCUGCCCUGAGGGCAGCUGCUGACCCAGGCCUUCCCCAGCACCCUCGCUUAGACCAGGGUUCCUGGCAGUCCUCCCGGCCUGCAUCUCAGCACACCAAGUCCUCCUCUUCACCCCAUUCUCUCUCUUGAGCAGGUUCUCCGGGUGCCGGUCCCUCCCAACGUCGCCUUUGAACUUGACCGCACUAGGGCUGACCUCAUCUCCGAGGAUGUCCAGCGGCGGUUCGUGCAGGAGGUGGUGCAAAGCCAGCAGGCAGCCGUGGGCCGGCAGCUGGAGGACUUCCGCUCCAAGCGGCUCAUGGGCAUGACGCCCUGGGAGCAGGAGCUGGCCCAGCUGGAGGCUUGGGUUGGGCGGGACCGAGCCAGCUACGAGGCCCGGGAGCGGCACGUGGCGGAGCGGCUGCUCAUGCACCUGGAGGAGAUGCAACAUACCAUCUCUACCGACGAAGAAAAGAGUGCUGCCGUGGUCAACGCCAUUGGCCUGUACAUGCGCCACCUUGGGGUGCGGACCAAGAGUGGAGACAAGAAGUCGGGGAGGAACUUCUUCCGGAAAAAGGUGAUGGGGAACCGGCGGUCGGACGAGCCUGCCAAGACCAAGAAGGGGCUGAGCAGCAUCCUGGAUGCCGCCCGCUGGAACCGGGGAGAGCCCCAGGGUAAGGCGGCUCUGGACUCUGCCCUCCCCUGUCUUCCCCAGCUGCUCCCACUCACUGUCUCAUUCUCUCUCAUUUCAGUUCCAGAUUUUCGACACCUCAAAGCAGAGGUUGAUGCCGAGAAGCCAGGUGCUACAGACCGGAAGGGAGGCGUGGGGAUGCCCUCUCGGGACCGGAAUAUCGGGGCUCCUGGGCAGGACACCCCUGGAGUCUCUCUGCACCCUCUGUCCCUGGACAGCCCAGACCGGGAACCAGGUGCUGACGCCCCCCUGGAGCUGGGGGACUCAUCCCCACAGGGCCCAAUGAGCCUGGAGUCCUUGGCGCCCCCAGAGAGUACCGAUGAGGGGGCCGAAACCGAGAGCCCCGAGCCUGGAGAUGAGGGGGAGCCGGGGCGGUCGGGACUGGAGCUUGAACCAGAAGAGCCUCCCGGCUGGCGGGAACUCGUCCCCCCAGACACCCUGCACAGCCUGCCCAAGAGCCAGGUGAAGCGGCAGGAGGUCAUCAGCGAGCUGCUGGUGACAGAGGCGGCCCACGUGCGCAUGCUGCGGGUGCUGCACGACCUCUUCUUCCAGCCCAUGGCAGAAUGCCUGUUCUUCCCCUUGGAGGAGCUGCAGAACAUCUUCCCCAGCCUGGACGAGCUCAUCGAGGUGCAUUCCCUGUUCCUCGAUUCCCUGGUGAAGCGGAGGCAGGAGAGUGGCUACCUCAUCGAGGAGAUCGGAGACGUGCUGCUGGCCCGGUUUGAUGGUGCUGAGGGCUCCUGGUUCCAGAAAAUCUCCUCCCGCUUCUGCAGCCGCCAGUCAUUUGCCUUAGAGCAGCUCAAAGCCAAGCAACGCAAGGACCCUCGGUUCUGUGCCUUCGUGCAGGAAGCUGAGAGCCGCCCGCGGUGCCGCCGCCUGCAGCUGAAGGACAUGAUCCCCACGGAGAUGCAGCGGCUAACCAAGUACCCCCUGCUCCUGCAGAGCAUCGGGCAGAACACAGAAGAGCCCACAGAACGGGAGAAAGUGGAGCUGGCAGCCGAGUGCUGCCGGGAAAUUCUACACCACGUCAACCAAGCCGUGCGUGACAUGGAGGACCUGCUGAGGCUCAAGGACUAUCAGCGGCGCCUGGACUUGUCCCACCUUCGGCAGAGCAGCGACCCUAUGCUGAGCGAAUUCAAGAACCUGGACAUCACCAAGAAAAAAUUGGUCCACGAGGGCCCACUGACGUGGCGGGUGACUAAGGACAAGGCAGUGGAGGUGCAUGUGCUGCUGCUGGACGACCUGCUGCUGCUGCUCCAGCGCCAGGACGAGCGGCUGCUGCUCAAGUCCCAUAGCCGGACACUGACGCCCACACCCGAUGGCAAGACCAUGCUGCGGCCCGUGCUGCGGCUCACCUCCGCCAUGACCCGCGAGGUGGCCACCGAUCACAAAGCCUUCUACGUCCUUUUUACCUGGGACCAGGAGGCCCAGAUAUACGAGCUGGUGGCACAGACUGUGUCGGAGCGGAAAAACUGGUGUGCCCUCAUCACUGAGACUGCCGGAUCCCUGAAAGUCCCUGCCCCUGCCUCUCGCCCUAAGCCCCGGCCCAGCCCGAGCAGCACCCGAGAACCCCUCCUCAGCAGCUCUGAGAACGGCAAUGGUGGCCGAGAGACGUCUCCAGCUGAUGCCCGGACUGAGAGAAUCCUCAGUGACCUCCUGCCCUUCUGCAGACCAGGCCCCGAGGGCCAGCUCGCUGCCACGGCCCUUCGGAAAGUGCUGUCCCUGAAGCAGCUUCUGUUUCCGGCGGAGGAAGACAAUGGGGCGGGGCCUCCUCGAGAUGGGGAUGGGGUCCCAGGGGGCGGCCCCCUGAGCCCAGCACGGACCCAGGAAAUCCAGGAGAACCUGCUCAGCUUGGAGGAGACCAUGAAGCAGCUGGAGGAGUUGGAGGAGGAAUUUUGCCGCCUGCGACCCCUCCUGUCUCAGCUUGGGGGGAACUCUGUCCCCCAGCCUGGCUGCACUUGAGGUUCCCGCCCAGGAAGGCCUUUUGCAAGGAGAGGAAUGGGGGAGAGGACGUGAGGGACCACCCCCACCCACACAGCUGCCGCAGCAUCUCACACCCCGAGGGCCUGAGGAGAGGGAGCUGUGGGCCACGCCUGGGAGGGGCCCAGCUGGGGUUACUGGCCCCGCAUGAGCCUCGGCCAUCUCUCCCUCCUGCCCUCUGCUUGGGGGACUCAGGGCUCCAUUCUGGAGGGCACCACGGUGACCCGGGCCAUCUCAGUAUUGCCUGUGGGGGCCACCCCUCCACCCCCACCCCCAAGUGCCUUCGCUCUGUUUUUAUACCCUGAAUUGGAGGUUUAUUUUUUAAUAUAUAUUAUCUAAGAAGAGA
rnacentral:sRNA from 1 species